AUACAGAGGGUGCAAGCGUUAAUCGGAAUUACUGGGCGUAAAGCGCGCGUAGGCGGCUGAUUAAGUCAGAUGUGAAAUCCCAGGGCUCAACCUUGGAACUGCAUCUGAAACUGGUCAGCUAGAGUUUGGGAGAGGGAAGUAGAAUUUCAGGUGUAGCGGUGAAAUGCAUAGAGAUCUGAAGGAAUACCAGUGGCGAAGGCGACUUCCUGGCCUAAAACUGACGCUGAGGCGCGAAAGCGUGGGCAGCAAACGGGAUUAGAAACCCCUGUAGUCC
rnacentral:rRNA from 1 species